rnacentral:rRNA from 1 species
AACGUAGGACGCAAGCGUUAUCCGGAGUUACUGGGCGUAAAGCGCGGGCAGGCGGCCAACCAAGUCUGAUGUGAAAUCUCCUCGCUCAACGGAGAGAGGCCAUUGGAAACUGGUCGGCUGGAGGGCAGUAGAGGUAGGCGGAAUUCCGGGUGGAGUGGUGAAAUGCGUAGAGAUCCGGAGGAACACCAGAGGCGAAGGCGGCCUACUGGGCUGCACCUGACGCUGAGCCGCGAAAGCCAGGGGAGCGAACGGG